UAGAAUACUUGGGUGACAUCUGCCUGAGAGAUCUCCAAGAAUUACAGAAGACAAAAAUACUAAUGCAUUUGAGAAAGCGGUAGUUUUGGGGGGAGGGGUAAAAAGCAACUGCUUUCCUGAUCUGCAACUUGGCUGGAUGCUAAGAUGUCAGUGGACAUGAAUAGCCAGGGGUCUGACAGCAAUGAAGAGGACUAUGACCCAAAUUGUGAGGAAGAGGAAGAAGAAGAAGAUGAAGACCCUGGGGACAUAGAGGACUAUUACGUGGGAGUAGCCAGCGAUGUGGAGCAGCAGGGGGCUGAUGCCUUUGAUCCCGAGGAGUACCAGUUCACUUGCUUGACCUACAAGGAAUCUGAGGGUGCCCUCAAUGAGCACAUGACCAGCUUAGCUUCUGUCCUAAAGGCCGUUGAUGCUCACUGCCAUCAGCUGCAUCCUCCCUAUGGCACUGGUAUCUCAUUCAGUUGCUAAACUUAUAUUAGUUAAUUUCCACUGGCAAGUUUCAGAGAUAUUGGACAGAUACAAGUCCAAUUCUGCUCAACUGCUUGUUGAGGCUCGAGUUCAGCCUAAUCCAUCAAAACAUGUUCCCACAUCCCAUCCCCCUCACCACUGUGCAGUGUGUAUGCAGUUUGUGCGAAAGGAAAACCUACUCUCUCUGGCCUGUCAGCACCAGUUUUGCCGCAGCUGCUGGGAGCAGCACUGCUCAGUUCUCGUCAAGGACGGCGUGGGCGUGG
rnacentral:sRNA from 1 species